GCUUAAACCUUUCCUCUAUGUUGCUCUCUCACACUAUAUUCUUUUUGGUUUAGUAAUUCACCCCUAAAUCCUACAAAGCCCUGCCCUAUUUUAAGUAUUGUAACCCCCGAUCACCGAUACCCUGUCCGACUGACGUAGGGCCCCGUAACGUAUGGCAAGGCUCUGCCUAAAUUCGUUGGGGUUCUGUCUCGUGACGUAGGGAUAACAUGAAAUUGGAUUACCAUACUUAAUGUGAGUGCACUAUAUAUUUUAUUAAAUAACCCAGGAGUGAUACCCGAAAUAUAACAACUCUCCAAAAACACCUCUGAUACCCUACACUUCCUAAAAUACACCCCGUAUGUGAAAACCGAGCCCGGAAUACAAUAUAGCAUUUAAAAUAAAUUAAAAACAAGAAAAUAUAAGUUUACGCGGGCCGCGUAAAGAUCCUCGCUUAGUUAACGCGGGCCGCGAGAGGUUAGAAAGGUGGCGCAGCCCUGGGCCGCCACGUGGCAACACCCGUCAAGCCUAUACCUCAACUCAGCAUAGCUAUACGUUGACUUUGGGUCAACGCGGGCCGCGUAAGACCUGUUCUUAUUUGACGCGGGCCGCGAGAGAGUUCAGUAUCAGCCCUAUAAAUUGGAUCGUCGAGCCUUCAGUCCGAUCGUUCAUUUCUUUCUUUCUCUCUCUUAAUUUCUGAGUAGUAGAAGUAAUACCCGGGUAUAAUGCCCCCCUAAUUAGCGAAGCUCUGCCUCGUUACUAUAACCAGGGAAUCACAAAGGAAAGCCCUAUAAUAGCAAUGUAACUUAGUGUGAAGCCAAUAAAAGCCAGCUGGAGAGCACUGAAGGCUUGGGAAAGUGGCAAUAAAGUUACCUAAAAUAAAAUAGAUGUUUUUAUUAAACAAAAUAGGAUUUAUUCCUAUGAAAAUGUGUGUACUACAAACUUGGGUUUUACCCAUGUGUUUAAUAUUAUGAAAAUAUGGUGGUUUUACUCUGAUAAAAAUAUUUCCUAACUACGGUCCUGAUGAAAAAUUCCGCUGCCAAAUUAGACAAUACACGAUACCACCGAAACUGGCUCACGGCCGCUCGUUCCUGAGGGGUCGGGGGUUGUGACAGAAGGUGGUAUCAGAGCUAUGCCACUGGUUCAAGCCAAAGAAGUAGUAUGA
rnacentral:lncRNA from 1 species